rnacentral:rRNA from 1 species
GACGGGGGGUGCAAGCGUUAUCCGGAAUCACUGGGCGUAAAGCGUCUGUAGGUGGUGAUGCAAGUCACUGGUGCAAAACUCUGGCUCAACCGGAGGAAAGCCAGUGAAACUGCAUGACUAGAGUGUGGGAGAGGUAGAAGGAAUUCCCUGAGUAGCGGUGAAAUGCGUAGAUACAGGGAAGAACACCGGAGGCGAAAGCGUCCUACUGGAACACAAUUGACCCUGAGAGACGAAAGCUAGGGGAGCGAAUGGG